GAAUACUGGUCCAAGAAGUAGGCGGUGAGGAGAAAUGAAGCUCCAGCCUGUCUUUCCAGGAGUAUGUUUGCUCCUCCAAGCAGCAAAAUCUGGCAGUGUAUCUGAUUGGAUUUCUCUGUUAUUCCUCUCCAUAAAUGUUGUGUUUAGUGGAAUUUUCUCCAAAACUCUAACAGUUAAUGCCAUGUCAGUAUUAGUUUCCCAUUUUCUUAGAAAUUUUUCAUCUUUUCUGUAUCUUCAAAAGCACCUUGGGAGGAGUGAGAAGAAGAUGCCUCAGGAACUGCGAAGCACAUGCCAUAUGACAAAGUACAAAUAAAGAAGCUCCAUGGAAGCAGAUCUUCAUAGACUUUCCUAACUGAAGAAGACAGCUCCAUAUGGGAAAUGCAUGGAGCAGAAAAAACAGGUCCUCUGUUGGAGGUGCUCAAGUGUGAAGUUAUUUUUAGGAAUAUCUAAGAGAAUCUCACUUAAUCCAUGUAAUAGACAGAAUAAUGCUCCCCUAAAGAUAUAUGCUUACUAGUCCCAGGAGCUGUGAACCUUACAUGACAAAAAGAAUUUUCAGAUGUGAUUAAAUAUCUGUCCUUGAGAGGGGAUAAUUAUUGUGAUAUUCUGGAUGGCCUCACCUAAUCACGAUCUUUAAAAAUAAAGAACUUUUCCAAGUUGCAUCAGAAAGAGAUGUGACAAUGGACAUAAGAUUAGACAAAGUUUGUGCUUCUGGAUUUGAACAUGGAAGAAGAAAUAAGCAAAGGAAUUUGCCCCUGUUGACACCUUCACUGCAGUACAGCGAGGCCUGUGACAGACUUGUGACUUACAUAAUUGUAAUAAGCUAAACUAGGAUUAUUUUAAACCACUUUGAUAAUUUGUUACAGCAGCAUUAGAACUCAGCUGUAGAACUGUCAAUUAAAAUAUGGAGCAUAAGCAAUUUGCCACAUACUUCUGCCUAGAGCAUGAACUUAGAUCUUUGAACUCUCAUUCCAGUUAUAUUUUCUGUUUAGGGAUGCUGUACUUAUUUUUGUGUUGGUGAAGAAAAUAAUUAGAUCAUAUGUCUCUUUAGUGUUUCCAGGCAUAAUUCUAUAUAGACUUUCCUUCUGAUGAAAGUAUGGUUUAAAAGAUAAAGUAUUACUUAGGGUUAUGUACUGCUUUCUUCACUCUGAAAUACUAUAGCUCAGUACUAGCCACUCUUCACAGUGCCCUACAAUUUGCUCUUUAGUACUUUCUAAAAUCUAUUCUCCUCCAACUACUUUAUUUUGGGUCUGUUUUUGCCACUUUGAAUGAAUCCUCAAAGAAUCAGAACUAAUGGUAAUUUAUCUGUGCAUUCCCAGGUUGUAGAACAAUGUGUUGACAUAUACAACUACUUAAUAAAUGUUAAGUAAAUCAUCAGUUGCAGUAUUUACUUACUUAUUUAGCAAAUACUUAUGUAAUCAUUUCUCUUUCCAGUAUGCUGAAAAUAGAGAACAUAAAAAUAUUUAAGAAAUACUAUUUGUCAAAAGCACAUAGGCUAGUGGUCAGACAGAUACAUUAGCAAAUAAUCAAAAUACAAAGUGAGUAAGUUGUUGUGAGAAUCAGAAAAGAACUCCAAAACACAGAGGUGGGAAACAUACAUUCUACUUGGGAAUUUAGUCUCUUUAAAUUAGGUAUAACCCCAGAAUAACCAGCUAACUUUUAAGUUUUGUUUCCUACUCAACAAUUCUUUGUACCUUAAAUGGUUUAUCUGAUUGCUGUUAGUUUGGUCAAUCAGAGUUCUAAUUACCAUUGAUCAUGGGAAAUUUCAAGUCGUCUGCCAGAGACUUCAUAGUUAUGGAAGAGAACCAUCAAAGGGGCCGUAGAAAUGCAGCUCUACUGCACUGAAAUGCUUCUGCCUCUCAUUUUCAACAGUUCCUGGGACAUUUCAUGGAACAAAAUGCAUCAGACUGUUUUUUAUAAAACAGGACUUAGUUCUGCUCUGCAUCUUGCAGCAAACUUACCUUCAGAGGCUAUGGUUCUCAAACUAAGGGGCUUGAGGUUGGAAGAAAAGAUAUAUUUUGUCCCCACAUGGGACAUUCAACAAUGUUUGGAAAUAUUUUUUACUGUCAAAACCCAGGGCAUUAUGCUAUCAUCUAUUGGAUGGAGGCCAGAAAUGCCACUCAUUCUUCCUAGAGUGCACAAGACAGCCCCACAGGACAAAAAAUUAUCCACCCCAAAUGCCAACAAUGCUGAGGGUGAGAAGCCACUCCUAAGGUUUACACACUGCCAUGGAAACAGAAAAAUAUAAGCAUGUUUGUUAAUAUGCAUGUGUAUUUAAUAAUAUUCAUUUAUGAAGCUAAAUUGUGACUUAAAGGAAAUUGACUUUUGGGUUAAUCUUUGGAAUUUUCAACAAAUUACCCAGAUAUUAGAAUGGUAUGUGUUUUAUGUUACCCUAAUGCCACCUCCUUUGUGAGAGCCUAUAGGAGCUUACUCUCUGGAUGCUGAGUGCAGGGUAAUUUAGUAAAUAUACUCUGCCAAGUGACUCUAGAUGUCCCUCAGGCAAGAGGCUUAUUGACUUUAAACAUUAACUCCUUUUCACAAUAUUCAACUUGUGACAUUUGUGACAUCCAACUUCUGGAUGUUCUGGAAAAAUAUUCAGCUAAAGUAAAAAAUCUGUGUCCUUAGAUCUGAAUUAAGAACUCAGGUAAUGAGAAGAAGGCAUGGUACUAAGGGUCUCUAUCUUUUUUUUAUGACAUACACUUAGUAACAAGUGAGCUUCAUUCCAGAAUAAAAUGUCAAACCUGAAGUGAAAUACUAUCUAUAAUAAAUGAGGCUCCUCAUGAUUAUUAUGUAGCACAUUUUCUCAGGUAAUAAAGCCAUUGUGUUUUGCAUGGCUUUAUUCUUUGAGGAAGAGGAAAG
ensembl:lncRNA